CUCAGCCGCCUCAGCCAGCAGCCGAUUCCACAUCGCAGCCCAGGUGGAAUUCUCCACAGGACUUCUGUUGAAUAUUUUCCUGCCUAUGUUCUGGGCCACAGACAUCAGGACUGGCUAAGAUUUACAUCUUCAAGAUAUGAUUUCUACCUGAAAACGAAAGAUAAGCUCUUCUCCAAAAUGACCCACUCUUCCCAUUCCCAUGAUUUCUCCUGACUCAAGCUGCUGCUUCUGCUUUACACUGUGAGCAAGCUUGCUUAUACCGUGGCUGUACCGUUUCUGAAAGGAGGCUUUGUCUCUACUGCUCCCUAGGUGAUCUAAUAGACCAAUGUAUCAAGUGGAACUAACCUCUUCUGCAUCUCAUGGAAGAAGUAUAUAAAUCAUUUCACAUUUCCUUUUUGGCCUACUCAAUGCAGCCUCACAGAUUAAAUAAAGGUAUGCCUAGGUUCUAAAUAGUUUAU